AGGGAGGCGUAGGCGGCUGAUUAAGUCAGCGGUGAAAGGUAGCAGCUUAACUGUUUUACAUGCCGUUGAUACUGGUUAGCUUGAGUUGACAGAAGGCAGAUAGAAUUCCUGGUGUAGCGGUGAAAUGCUUAGAUACCAGGAGGAAUACCGAUUGCGAAGGCAGUCUGCUGCAGUCACACUGACGCUGAGGCUCGAAGGUGCGGGGAUCAAACAGGAUUAGAUACCCGGGU
rnacentral:rRNA from 1 species